UCAUAUCUUUUUCAUAUUAAGUUUUAUGAAGCUCCUCUUUGUAUUAAUUCUGGCAUGUCUUCUUUUUCUCAUGCUGUCUUGUGAAACGCCUCUUUGUAUAAGUCCUGGCUUUUUCACCUUCGCAGCCAGUUGUUCCAUCCUGAGCACCCGUGCUUGUUGUGUAUCUCUGCAGAGAUUACUAUUAUAAAGACUCAAUGGCAACUCCAGUCUGAUUUCAUUAUUUCAAAUCUCAAGAUGAAUUUCCAUCACAAUUUUGGCGUCACGAACAGGAUCCCUUGAAAGAUCGUCUGGACCCGAGAAGUCUUCGGUGGCUGAUCACCCAGGAGAGAAAAUCUUCUGCCUCUACCUCCAACACUGAAGAGAAGAGAGGACCGAAAAAACUGGGGUUCUGGACCUUCUUCACAGGGAUCCAAAGACCUCUCUUUGGUCAUCUUAAAUCUGGUGAGAUGUUGAAAUUCUGAUUUUCACGACUGUUUAGAUGAUUUCUCAAAUACGAAAUCAAACAUAAGAAAUAAUACAUUUAACGGGUUUUAUUUGGAACAGGUGUAUUAGUCAUUCUCUCUGGAUUACUGUGGAUUAUUAAUGUUAAUCUGACCCAUCUUGUGGCAAUCAUCCUAGUUGAAGGCAUUUUUCCUGUUUUGCCGGAGAAAGAAACAAGGAUUCGUGGAGACGUCCACGUCUUAAAUUAGAGUGUUGUGAAAAUAGUUGAUGAGUCCUUUUUCACACAGCUAAUUAAUAAGGUUAUGAAAAUUGUUGAUAAGUCAAUUUCAUAGACCAGAUAGGAUGGGUAACAAGGGAAGUCAAGGACCCCAAAGCCCAGAGGGUCCUAUUGUGGACUCUGUGGUUGCAAGGCACGGAUGGGAUAGUGUGACAUUUCUUCCAGUAUGGUCCAGAGACUUUGCUUUUCCUCAUAACGGGUCAUUCAGUGUCGACAUUAAAUUUUUUUACUUUUAAGAGAGAAACUCCUCGAGAAAGAGGAAGAAUCAAAAAAAAAAAAAAAAAAAAGGGCAACAAAAAGUAACAUAAAUAAAGAGUGUAGGGACAGAAAACGAUAAUUUAAAGGUCGUUUUCUGUCUAAGGUUGACAAGAAGGAAAGUGAUAAUGUUGGAAAGAAUGUUGAAAAGUAAUCAUAUAGAUCUCUGUAUUCUCCUUUUGAAAGGGUGUGGCAGUCCUCUUCUCAACGCCUGCCUUCUCCUCACCAACGACAAAACCCUCCUCCACAUGAUGCAGAGACCAGACUCCACCAAUCAACGCUCAGGCCCAUCUCAGACGCCACCCACCGCUCUCCCAGUCUAUGGAGACAGGGCAGCGGGAGGACUGAAUCAUGACGCCACCUCUUCCUCAUCCUUAGGCCCCACUGACUUUGCAAAGAUGUGUCCGCACUGUGGGGGAGAUCUCCGUCUGACUCCACCAGACUGGGAUGAUGCGGGUAAUGCAACAUACGUCAACGCUCUCAACACACUCCUCAACGCCCUGAGGACGCCUUCCCCAAUAAAAGUGACAUGUCCAAAAUAACGGGGUGCAAACAACAACCAGACGAAAUCGUAGGAGAUUUCCUCACAAGUCUGACUGUCCUGUUUAAUCAACACAGCGUUAUGAUGCAGGCUGUGUCUACCCUGUCAAGGCUAAGCAGACAAGAUAGCACUGAUAGCAGAGCCAACUUCACUGAACCAGGAAGAGGGGGGCGUGGCCGUGGGAGAAGCUUCUCUCGACGACCCAGAAUUCCCAAAGAUGAGUGUUUCAUCUGCAGAGGAAAAGGACACUGGGCAACGAAAUGCCCCAACGGCGAGGGGACGGGGAGACAAGAACUUUCACUGCCGACUGAACUUUGCAGAAAGUGAGGGGGGGGCAGACGGGGAGGAGACGUCCAGCCUACCCACCGAGGAUCAGAGAAGGGAAGUGAAACACACACACAGAAGCUCCAGCACACACACAAAUACAUGCCACUGCAAAGAAGUAUCAGCUUGCAUUACUAACCGCACACACACACACACAAACACACCAGAUUACACACAACUUUGUGGUUCUUAUGUUAAGUACAAUAGUAAUGCCUUUAAGAAAAUGCCUUAACUCCAAGUUAACGGUCACAAACUUAAUGUAAUGGUCGACUCUGGUGCAGGUUAUUCUGUGGUUAGGAUGUCAGAUUUGCCCACAUCUCCUGAGCUGAAUGGUCGCUUUAUAUUCUUUCAAAUGCGCCGCUCAGUUAGACAAACAUCCCAUAAGGUUUGAACAUGAUUUUCUGUUGUCUACCUGUUGGCCAGUUAAUCUAUUAGGAAGAGAUUUGAUGAUUGUGUUAGGCCUCAAUUUAGUAUCCUCCCCUGAUGGAGUGACUGUUACACACAAUUCUUCUUCACCCACCUUCACAAUGUCACAGACCACACAUGAGCAGCUGUUUGCAUAUCAGUUGCAACUUCCUAUAAAUGCCUCCACUGAUCUGCUCUCCACGUCACACUCUCUUAUCACCCUUUUUUCUGAUGUUAUGCACACGGAUUCAUUGCACUGCACUUCACAUGUGACAGACACAUGCUCAUUUGUUGUGACUGAACAUCACCUUCAUUCUUAUGCGAUGUUGACCAGCCCCUCUGAUGUUUCUCCUCUACUUUCAGAUCUGCCUGAAACAUUGUAGGCUGGUGUAAAUGUCCCCUUCCCUGAUGCACCGGUCCACACUCCACUGUUCCCAGUUAAGAAGAUCAGAGACAAAAGCCUCAGAGGCUCACUAUUCGUGUUAUCCAUGAUCUCCUUAAUUAUUGUUUUUCCAAUUAUUUUGUCGAGACACCCUCCUAGAAAAGCUUCUGAUGAUCUAACAAACUCCUCUUUACCUACAGUGUCCUCUCAGACCCGUCCAGCACAUGCAAAUUUACUAGACACGAGAAAAGUGAUUCAGGUCCCCUUGAUCUGUAACCUAUUCCACAUCACUACUUACCUGGACACUGACAGCACAGAUGAUUCUGAUGACGAUACUCAAAUUUAGUUUUAUUUUACUCUUUUUAUUUUUCAUUUUCAUUUUCAUUUUUAUGUUAUUUUCUCCCUCCAGCUUGCUUAUGUGUUUCUUAGUGAUUUCACUAGACAAAAAACAGCUACUGCAAUUAUCCUUUCAACUUCAUAUUUUCUGAUGCCUUAAUUUAAAUCUCUGAAUUUUUAAGGUUGAUGUGUUACUUUAUGAAGUUUGUACAUACUUAAUAAUAUAUACAUACCACUUCUGUCCGUCCUGGGUGAGGAAUCCCUCACAUGUGGCUCUCUCUAAGGUUUCUACUUAUUUUUCACCCUGUGAAAAGGGUUUUUUGAGUAGUUUUCUUCCUUACGCUUUAUGAGGGUUAAGGGCAGAAGAUGUCACACCAUGUUAAAGGCCUAUGAUAUUUUCAACCUUAGAUAUACUUUAUGUUGACAUUUAACGUUUUAUUACAUUUUAAUAUGAGUUACUUUUGCCAAUCAAUACAGUGUGUUACAUUUUGAUAAUGGUUAAUGAGAAAAUGAUUUUGUUUGACCUGAUUUCCUUCCAUAUUUUUUUUCAUUUUGGACGCUUGCUCCAUUACAGGGAAAGAAUUUCCCUGUAAUGGAGCAAGCGUCCAAAAAUUUUUUUUUUUUUGUUUCCUUUCCACAAAACAGCAGUGGCUACCUAUUGUGGCCUCAUCGCCAGUGAUUCUGUAUGUAUGCAAGGUACCAGGGUUGCAGACUCGUCGAUUUUUCUUCUAUGAUUUGAUGUUUGUUAUUGAUAAUGAUUAUGAUGUUUCUUGAUUAUUUUCGUUAGUGAUCAUAUUUUUAUUGAUGAUCAAAUGGGGGAGUGUGAGGGAAAAUUCAACAGACCAGGUGUCUCACUACUGUGGCCUUGGCAAACUGGGAGUUUGCUACAGCGGACGGACACAGCAGAUGAGCACUGAGGAGGAUUUCAUAUCUUUUUCAUAUUAAGUUUUAUGAAGCUCCUCUUUGUAUUAAUUCUGGCAUGUCUUCUUUUUCUCAUGCUGUCUUGUGAAACGCCUCUUUGUAUAAGUCCUGGCUUUUUCACCUUCGCAGCCAGUUGUUCCAUCCUGAGCACCCGUGCUUGUUGUGUAUCUCUGCAGAGAUUACUAUUAUAAAGACUCAAUGGCAA